rnacentral:rRNA from 1 species
UACGUAGGAGGCAAGCGUUGUCCGGAUUUACUGGGCGUAAAGAGCGUGUAGGCGGUUGAGUAAGUCCGCUGUGAAAUCUCCUGGCUCAACCAGGAAGGGUCGGUGGAAACUGCUUAACUUGAGGACGGUAGAGGGGGGUGGAAUUCCCGGUGUAGUGGUGAAAUGCGUAGAGAUCGGGAGGAACACCAGCGGCGAAGGCGGCCCCCUGGGCCGCUCCUGACGCUGAGACGCGAAGGCCAGGGUAGCGAACGGG